rnacentral:rRNA from 1 species
GACGAACGCUGGCGGCGUGCUUAACACAUGCAAGUCGAACGGAAAGGCCCUGCUUUUGUGGGGUGCUCGAGUGGCGAACGGGUGAGUAACACGUGAGUAACCUGCCCUUGACUUUGGGAUAACUUCAGGAAACUGGGGCUAAUACCGGAUAGGAGCUCCUGCUGCAUGGUGGGGGUUGGAAAGUUUCGGCGGUUGGGGAUGGACUCGCGGCUUAUCAGCUUGUUGGUGGGGUAGUGGCUUACCAAGGCUUUGACGGGUAGCCGGCCUGAGAGGGUGACCGGCCACAUUGGGACUGAGAUACGGCCCAGACUCCUACGGGAGGCAGCAGUGGGGAAUAUUGCACAAUGGGCGGAAGCCUGAUGCAGCAACGCCGCGUGCGGGAUGACGGCCUUCGGGUUGUAAACCGCUUUCGCCUGUGACGAAGCGUGAGUGACGGUAAUGGGUAAAGAAGCACCGGCUAACUACGUGCCAGCAGCCGCGGUGAUACGUAGGGUGCGAGCGUUGUCCGGAUUUAUUGGGCGUAAAGGGCUCGUAGGUGGUUGAUCGCGUCGGAAGUGUAAUCUUGGGGCUUAACCCUGAGCGUGCUUUCGAUACGGGUUGACUUGAGGAAGGUAGGGGAGAAUGGAAUUCCUGGUGGAGCGGUGGAAUGCGCAGAUAUCAGGAGGAACACCAGUGGCGAAGGCGGUUCUCUGGGCCUUUCCUGACGCUGAGGAGCGAAAGCGUGGGGAGCGAACAGGCUUAGAUACCCUGGUAGUCCACGCUGUAAACGGUGGGUACUAGGUGUGGGGUCCAUUCCACGGGUUCCGUGCCGUAGCUAACGCUUUAAGUACCCCGCCUGGGGAGUACGGCCGCAAGGCUAAAACUCAAAGGAAUUGACGGGGCCCCGCACAAGCGGCGGAGCAUGCGGAUUAAUUCGAUGCAACGCGUAGAACCUUACCUGGGUUUGACAUGGAUCGGGAGUGCUCAGAGAUGGGUGUGCCUCUUUUGGGGUCGGUUCACAGGUGGUGCAUGGCUGUCGUCAGCUCGUGUCGUGAGAUGUUGGGUUAAGUCCCGCAACGAGCGCAACCCUUGUUCACUGUUGCCAGCACGUUAUGGUGGGGACUCAGUGGAGACCGCCGGGGUCAACUCGGAGGAAGGUGGGGAUGACGUCAAGUCAUCAUGCCCCUUAUGUCCAGGGCUUCACGCAUGCUACAAUGGCUGGUACAGAGGGUGGCGAGCCUGUGAGGGUGAGCGAAUCUCGGAAAGCCGGUCUCAGUUCGGAUUGGGGUCUGCAACUCGACCUCAUGAAGUCGGAGUCGCUAGUAAUCGCAGAUCAGCAACGCUGCGGUGAAUACGUUCCCGGG